GAUGGGGAAAUCAUGAAGAUCAGGCCUGCAUGAAAACACUUCAUUAAUUUCAUCUCCAAACAAUCAUGUUGACUUUCAGUAGUCUGGGGCAGAAGGGUAACUGGAUUCAUAUUAUUGACAGUUUCGAGGUGUACUCUUGGAUUUUCACAUAACAUAGCUUGAUAAUUGGUCAUUCGACUAUUACUAAACCAAUGAUUUCCUUUGUAAUCCAAUAGGG